GACGAACGCUGGCGGCGUGCUUAACAUAUGCAAGUCGAACGGAAAGGCCCUGCUUUUGUGGGGUGCUCGAGUGGCGAACGGGUGAGUAACACGUGAGUAACCUGCCCUUGACUUUGGGAUAACUUCAGGAAACUGGGGCUAUACCGGAUAGGAGCUCCUGCUGCAUGGUGGGGGUUGGAAAGUUUCGGCGGUUGGGGAUGGACUCGCGGCUUAUCAGCUUGUUGGUGGGGUAGUGGCUUACCAAGGCUUUGACGGGUAGCCGGCCUGAGAGGGUGACCGGGCACAUUGGGACUGAGAUACGGACCAGAGUGCUACGGGAGGCAGCAGUGGGGAAUAUUGCACAAUGGGCGGAAGCCUGAUGAAGAAACGCCGCGUGCGGGAUGACGGCCUUCGGGUUGUAAACCGCUUUCGCCUGUGACGAAGCGUGAGUGACGGUAAUGGGUAAAGAAGCACCGGCUAACUACGUG
rnacentral:rRNA from 1 species